CCUACGGGGGGCUGCAGUGAGGAAUAUUGGUCAAUGGACGAGAGUCUGAACCAGCCAAGUAGCGUGAAGGAUGACUGCCCUAUGGGUUGUAAACUUCUUUUAUAAAGGAAUAAAACGAGGCACGUGUGCCUUUUUGCAUGUACUUUAUGAAUAAGGAUCGGCUAACUCCGUGCCAGCAGCCGCGGUAAUACGGAGGAUCCGAGCGUUAUCCGGAUUUAUUGGGUUUAAAGGGAGCGUAGAUGGGUUGUUAAGUCAGUUGUGAAAGUUUGCGGCUCAACCGUAAAAUUGCAAUUGAUACUGGCAGUCUUGAGUACAGUUGAGGUAGGCGGAAUUCGAGGUGUAGCGGUGAAAGGCUUAGAUAUCACGAAGAACCCCGAUUGCGAAGGCAGCUUACUAAACUGUGACUGACAUUGAUGCUCGAAAGUGUGGGUAUCAAACAGGAUUAGAUACCCUUGUAGUC
rnacentral:rRNA from 1 species